UACAGAGGUCCCAAGCGUUGUUCGGAAUUACUGGGCGUAAAGGGUCUGUAGGUGGCCAACUAAGUCAGACGUGAAAUCCCUCAGCUUAACUGGGGAACUGCGUCUGAUACUGGAUGGCUCGAGUGUGGGAGAGGAAUGCGGAAUUCCAGGUGUAGCGGUGAAAUGCGUAGAUAUCUGGAGGAACACCGGUGGCGAAGGCGGCAUUCUGGACCAUAACUGACACUGAGAGACGAAAGCGUGGGGAUCAAACAGG
rnacentral:rRNA from 1 species